CUACGGGUGGCUCCAGUGGGGAAUAUUGGACAAUGGGAGAAAUCCUGAUCCAGCAAUUCUGUGUGCAUGAUGACGGUCUUCGGAUUGUAAAGUGCUUUCGACAGGGAAGAAUAAAUUGACGGUACCUGUAUAAGAAGCGACGGCUAAAUACGUGCCAGCAGCCGCGGUAAUACGUAUGUCGCAAGCGUUAUCCGGAAUCACUGGGCAUAAAGGGCGUCUAGGCGGUUUGAAAAGUCAGUGGUGAAAGGUAUGGGCUCAACCCGUGCAUUGCCAUUGAAACGCUUAAACUAGAGUAUGGGAGAGGAGGGCGGAACUACAAGAGUAGCGGUGAAAUGCGUAGAUAUUUGUAGGAAUGCCAAUGACGAAGGUAGCUCUCUGGACCAAUACUGACGCUAAAGCGCGAAAGCUAGGGUAGCAAACAGGAUUAGAUACCCUCGUAGUC
rnacentral:rRNA from 1 species